CCAGACUCCUACGGGAGGCAGCAGUGAGGAAUAUUGGUCAAUGGCCGGAAGGCUGAACCAGCCAAGUCGCGUGAGGGAAUAAGGCCCUAUGGGUCGUAAACCUCUUUUGUCAGGGAGCAAAGGCGUCCACGUGUGGACGAGAGGAGAGUACCUGAAGAAAAAGCAUCGGCUAACUCCGUGCCAGCAGCCGCGGUAAUACGGAGGAUGCGAGCGUUAUCCGGAUUUAUUGGGUUUAAAGGGUGCGUAGGCGGACGCUUAAGUCAGCGGUAAAAUUGCGGGGCUCAACCUCGUCGAGCCGUUGAAACUGGGUGCCUUGAGUGGGCGAGAAGUACGCGGAAUGCGCGGUGUAGCGGUGAAAUGCAUAGAUAUCGCGCAGAACCCCGAUUGCGAAGGCAGCGUGCCGUGCCGCCACUGACGCUGAGGCACGAAAGCGCGGGGAUCGAACAGGAUUAGAUACCCGUGUAA
rnacentral:rRNA from 1 species